AAAAAGUGGUGUAUCUUAGCUCAUAGGAUUUUGAUUCCUAAGGAAAGAAUUAAAUAUUCUUCUUUUU
rnacentral:tRNA from 1 species